GACGAACGCUGGCGGCGUGCUUAACACAUGCAAGUCGAACGGAAAGGCCCUGCUUUUGUGGGGUGCUCGAGUGGCGAACGGGUGAGUAACACGUGAGUAACCUGCCCUUGACUUUGGGAUAACUUCAGGAAACUGGGGCUAAUACCGGAUAGGAGCUCCUGCUGCAUGGUGGGGGUUGGAAAGUUUCGGCGGUUGGGGAUGGACUCGCGGCUUAUCAGCUUGUUGGUGGGGUAGUGGCUUACCAAGGCUUUGACGGGUAGCCGGCCUGAGAGGGUGACCGGCCACAUUGGGACGGAGCUACGGCCCAGACUCCUACGGGAGGCAGCGGUGGGGAAUAUUGCACAAUGGGCGGAAGCCUGAUGCAGCAACGCCGCGUGCGGGAUGACGGCAUUCGGGUUGUAAACCGCUUUCGCCUGUGACGAAGCGUGAGUGACGGUAAUGGGUAAAGAAGCACCGGCUAACUACGUG
rnacentral:rRNA from 1 species